CGGGUGAGUAACGCGUGGGUAACCUGCCCUGUACAGGGGGAUAACAGUCAGAAAUGACUGCUAAUACCGCAUAAGACCACAGCACCGCAUGGUGCAGGGGUAAAAACUCCGGUGGUACAGGAUGGACCCGCGUCUGAUUAGCUGGUUGGUGAGGUAACGGCUCACCAAGGCGACGAUCGGUAGCUGGUCUGAGAGGACGACCAGCCACACUGGGACUGAGACACGGCCCAG
rnacentral:rRNA from 1 species